rnacentral:tRNA from 1 species
ACUUAUUUAAUAUAUAAAUUAUAUUAAGCUUCCAACUUAAAAAUCCCCUCAGGGAAUAGGUA